rnacentral:rRNA from 1 species
UUUGUUGUCCGACUCUGUUGCCUCCGGGGCGACCCUGCCUUCGGGCGGGGGCUCCGGGUGGACACUUCAAACUCUUGCGUAACUUUGCAGUCUGAGUAAACUUAAUUAAUAAAUUAAAACUUUUAACAACGGAUCUCUUGGUUCUGGCAUCGAUGAAGAACGCAGCGAAAUGCGAUAAGUAAUGUGAAUUGCAGAAUUCAGUGAAUCAUCGAAUCUUUGAACGCACAUUGCGCCCCCUGGUAUUCCGGGGGGCAUGCCUGUUCGAGCGUCAUUUCACCACUCAAGCCUCGCUUGGUAUUGGGCAACGCGGUCCGCCGCGUGCCUCAAAUCGUCCGGCUGGGUCUUCUGUCCCCUAAGCGUUGUGGAAACUAUUCGCUAAAGGGUGUUCGGGAGGCUACGCCGUAAAACAACCCCAUUUCUAAGGUUGACCUCGGAUCAGGUAGGGAUACCCGCUGAACUUAAGCAUAUCAAUAAGCGG